CACGAACGCUGGCGGCAGGCUUAACACAUGCAAGUCGAGCGCCCCGCAAGGGGAGCGGCAGACGGGUGAGUAACGCGUGGGAAUCUACCCAUCUCUACGGAAUAACGCAUGGAAACGUGUGCUAAUACCGUAUACGUCCUUCGGGAGAAAGAUUUAUCGCCGAAGGAUUGGCCCGCGUCCGAUUAGCUAGUUGGUGUGGUAAUGGCGCACCAAGGCGACGAUCGGUAGCUGGUCUGAGAGGAUGAUCAGCCACACUGGGACUGAGACACGGCCCAGACUCCUACGGGAGGCAGCAGUGGGGAAUAUUGGACAAUGGGGGCAACCCUGAUCCAGCCAUGCCGCGUGAGUGAUGAAGGCCCUAGGGUUGUAAAGCUCUUUCGGCGGGGACGAUAAUGACGGUACCCGCAGAAGAAGCCCCGGCUAACUUCGUGCCAGCCGCCGCGGUAACAC
rnacentral:rRNA from 1 species